CCCUGGGCUCGAUCUCAGGACUGCGAGAUCAUGACCUGGGUCAAAACCAUCAAGAGUGAGACACUUAACUGACUGAGCCACCCAAGCUGGGUAUUUUAAAAAGCUCACGUGGAGGCUUCUACGUGUAGCUGGGCUUGAGAGCCUCAGGGUGGCCCUGGAGAUGACAUCGGCCAGCUGGGAGGUGCUGUGUUUGGGGGGUGCUGGCUGUGGGCGAGCGGUCAUCCUUAGGAGCAGGCUUGUAUCUAAGUACUUGCUUGUGUGAGUUCCUUUGAGGAAGAGGACUCCCAGGGUACUCUCCACGCUGACAUUUUCUAAGGCCUUUGGGCCCCUCAAAAGCCAUAGAAAAUCUGGAAAAACAUGGCAUCCGAUAUAAUUCACAAAUAGCUUCUUUCAACUAUACCAUUUCUACAUCAUAAAAUCUUUCUUUGUAAAAACAAAAGCUCCUGGUCACCCUUUGGUGAACUCUUCUACUGCCCAGAUACACACAAAAGAGAAGGAAGCCUGUUAGCUUCCGACUGUCGCUUAAUGUUGUCAAACUUCUCAAACACUAUAGAAUUCUGUUGUUGGCUAAUAAAAAAGUUCCUGCAAUUGGAUUUUUAAAGCAGGGGGCAAGAAAUUUGAAAGAAAAGAUCCUCCUUAGCUGAGGUCUAUCAUAUGAUUAUGGUUUCAUAGCGCUAAUGAGUAUCUGUUAAGCACCAAACAUUGUAUGAGGUGAAUUAUCUAGGUACCUCAUUUCAUCACACAAGUCUCUUUCCAGGGUUCAAAUAUUGUUGGGAGUGAUUGCAGAAGUUGGCCUGGAGAUUACCAACAAGUGUCUGCGUUCCCUGGGAAAUGGCAGUGGUAUAAUGGACUCUUUCCAUAGAAUUUAGAAGCCUAGGAGAACUCACUUCUCCAUGUUGUGGUUUCUUCAUUUAUCAAAUGAGGCGUUGAGACUGGUCGAUUUUAUACAUUUAUGAAAAUAGCAUAACGUAUGGAGCCGUUGAAUCACUAUGUUGUACACCUGAAGCUAACCCAACACUGUAGGUCAGCUAAGCUUCAGUAGGAAAAAAAAAAAACCAUAAAGUGAAGAUAAAUUAUGAAAAUCAUGCCCUCAUCAGGUGUUUUGGGGGCCCCACCCAGCGAAACACCUGAAAGUCUUAGGAGAGAAGAUGAAGCAGGAAGGGGUGGAGACCAUGGCAGAGAACAAUCAGAUGCACAGACCCGGUCAAGAAGCUGAAAGGUGUCAGCUCAUGAUUUCGUUUCCUUCAUACACGGAGCUGGCAGCCAGAAAUCCAGAGCAGAGUAAAGGGAAGGAGAAAGAGCAACCUCCUGGAAAUCAGUUGACAAAUAGUAAUCAAAGGAGAAGAGCGCGUUGGUGGUAUAGUGGUGAGCAUAGCUGCCUUCCAAAGGAGAAGAGCGAUAGUCUCCAGUCUUACCCAGCCCAGCCUUCUCCUGGAAACAAUGAAUGCCAUUGAUUCAAGAUGCUGAGAGCCCAGGGGCUAAUAGAAUUUUUGAGGAAUCAGUGGGAAUGAAGAAUGUAUGACCCUUACUAGGUCAAAUAUAAUGCUCUAAUGAUGAUGACCGUGAUACCUGUCAGUGUUGAGCUUUUGCCAUGUGCCAAGCACCGUCCUAAUACCUUUCUUUGUCUGUCUCAGGAAAUCCUCAGAUCUAUUCUGUGAAGUAGGCUAGGCACUAUUCUCCUCCUACUUCACCGAUGAGGAAGCCAAAUCUCAGGGGAGCAUGAGAAACAUGACCAAGCUGUCCAUCUGGGAACUAGAAGAGUAGGGAUGUGAAUCCUUGCAAUCUGGCUCCAGGGCCCUUACUCAGAACCACCACGCACUGCUUCCUUCCAGAGUGUCCUGAAUGUCCCCCAAACUAUGGGGCAACUAAAAAUAUUAUUUAAAGAAACCUUAAAAAUUAUUAAAGCAUUUUUGCCAUAUGGUGUUAA